rfam:Mycobacterium sp. 852002-51057_SCH5723018 contig_68, whole genome shotgun sequence.
AGCGCUGCGCAAGUGGGCCGAUGGUCGACUCCUGCAGCGCAGGAGCCUUCAGCCCGGCUCCGGAAAGCUGCAG